rnacentral:sRNA from 1 species
GAUCUCCACACAGAUCUUGUAUUAUUCCAUAGACCACAGAAUUGUUGUGUAUAUGUACAAACUUUUGUAGAGUUUUACUUGCACUGUGUGUGUAUGGAUUAGUCACCAGGUGACAUAAUAUAAUACAUGUACAGAGUAUCACCAUGUGUAAAUUAUUUACAAUGAAUUAGAGAGGACUGAUAAAUAUAUUGAAAAUUAUUAUCAUGUUUAUACACAUGUACAUGUACUUGUAACAAUCUUUGAGACAUUGUUUCAACAAGUUAGCCACAAAAUUUAAAGACAAUAGUUCUCUGCUUGUAAAUGUUAUAUAAAACUGUUUUUCACCUCUUGAAAAACUGCAAUCAUAAAAAAUGAAUGUUUUGCAUUAGU